CAGCAGCCGCGGUAAUACCGAGGGUGCAAGCGUUAAUCGGAAUUACUGGGCGUAAAGCGCGCGUAGGUGGUUUGUUAAGUUGGAUGUGAAAUCCCCGGGCUCAACCUGGGAACUGCAUUCAAAACUGACUGACUAGAGUAUGGUAGAGGGUGGUGGAAUUUCCUGUGUAGCGGUGAAAUGCGUAGAUAUAGGAAGGAACACCAGUGGCGAAGGCGACCACCUGGACUAAUACUGACACUGAGGUGCGAAAGCGUGGGGAGCAAACAGGAUUAGAUACCCGUGUAGUCCCUGUCUCUUAUAC
rnacentral:rRNA from 1 species